CCCUUAGACGUUCUGGGCCGCACGCGCGCUACACUGACGAAGGCAACGAGCUUUCCUUUACCGAAAGGUACGGGUAAUCUUUUGAAACUUCGUCGUGCUGGGGAUAGAUCCUUGCAAUUAUUGAUUUUAAACGAGGAAUUCCUAGUAAGCGCAAGUCAUCAACUUGCGUUGAUUACGUCCCUGCCCUUUGUACACACCGCCCGUCGCUACUACCGAUUGAAUGGUUUAGUGAGGCCUUCGGAUCCGCAACUCGUUUUGUGGAGAAGUUGGACAAACUCAGUCAUUUAGAGGAAGUAAAANUCGUANCA
rnacentral:rRNA from 1 species